rnacentral:rRNA from 1 species
UACGGAGGGUGCGAGCGUUAAUCGGAAUUACUGGGCGUAAAGCGUACGCAGGCGGUUUGUUAAGCGAGAUGUGAAAGCCCCGGGCUCAACCUGGGAACUGCAUUUCGAACUGGCAAACUAGAGUGUGAUAGAGGGGUGGUAGAAUUCAGGUGUAGCGGUGAAAUGCGUAGAGAUCUGAAGGAAUACCGAUGGCGAAGGCA